rnacentral:rRNA from 1 species
UACGUAGGCAGCAAGCGUUGUUCGGAUUUACUGGGCGUAAAGGGCGCGUAGGCGGCAAUUCAAGUCAUCUGUGAAAUCUCCGGGCUUAACUCGGAACGGUCAGGUGAUACUGCUUUGCUAGAGUGCGGAAGGGGCAAUCGGAAUUCUUGGUGUAGCGGUGAAAUGCGUAGAUAUCAAGAGGAACACCUGAGGUGAAGACGGGUUGCUGGGCCGACACUGACGCUGACAGCGCGAAAGCCAGGGGAGCAAACGGG